GUUCUUUGGGUCAGAGAGGGUGAAAACCCCGUUUACAUUCAUUGUGGGGCGUGUCUGUUGUGUGGGCGUGUUGAAGAGUCGGAUUGUUUGGGAAUGCAAUCCAAAACGGGUGGUAAAUUCCAUCCAAGACUAAAUAUUAGCAAGAGACCGAUAGCGAACAAGUACCGUGAGGGAAAGAUGAAAAGCACUCUGAAGAGAGAGUGAAAUACUACGUGAAAUUGCUGAAAGGGAAACGCUUGAGACGAUUGUUGCUCUUGGUUGAAUCA
rnacentral:rRNA from 1 species